CGGGAAACCGGAGCUAAUACCGGAUAAUAUUCGAACCGCAUGGUUCGAUAGUGAAAGGUGGUUUUGCUAUCACUUAUAGAUGGACCCGCGCCGUAUUAGCUAGUUGGUAAGGUAACGGCUUACCAAGGCGACGAUACGUAGCCGACCUGAGAGGGUGAUCGGCCACACUGGAACUGAGACACGGUCCAGACUCCUACGGGAGGCAGCAGUA
rnacentral:rRNA from 1 species